rnacentral:lncRNA from 1 species
CCUUACUACAUUAGAAAUCUUUUCCAUUUAUAUUCCCUUUUCCUUUAGCCAAUUCGACCUCCUCUGCUUCGACUGUCGCAUACCCUUCUCGUUUACUUGGUAGAGUCUACUUGGUUGUGCAUCUGUCAGCGCAUACCUCAAGGGCCUCUAUCUUACGCAUGAGAUAAACACUUGGAUCGCCCAUUCAUUGUUCAGCUCCUUAACUGCCAACGUUGUUGUAUGAAAACAUCAGAUAUACUCCUGUAGCAUCUGUUCCUGAUUUUGGGUAAUCAACAUCAAGCUUUGCUAAGAUUCUUAAGGUGUGUUUGUAGCUGCCGAAAUGCACCAUGAAAUUUUUGCUCAACUGGUCAAAAUUCACGAUCAAUCCUAGUGCCAACGAUUAGCACCAUUGUCUAGUAGGUCCUUUGAGUGUAGUUGGGAAAAUACGACACUGGAUGGAUCAUGAACAUUCCUAAGAUAAUGAAAAGCCUUGAAAUGGUUCAAAUGGUCCAGAGGAUUGAUGAAGCCAUCAUAAACUUCUGGCGAUAUUUUGACUUUAGUAGGCACUGAUAGUUGUCGAAUAACAAGGGAUAAUGGGUUAUGAGUAGCGUCCAACCACUAAAAGUCAUUCUGGGUUGGCUAUUUUACAUUCUUUAACUUCUACUUCAAGGCUACGGCCGGCUCUACAAGAUCAACUGCCUUAGGUUGGUAACUUUUUGUUUUACGCUUUGAUGGAGGUUGAAGCGCGCUUUGGCUUGAUUACUUGUAUUGGGGCUCUAUGGCUAAACUCGAGCUUUCAUCAGGCACAACAGGUUUUGAAGGACAUGUAGUGGUUCUUUGUUCAUCUAUGUGGAUUUUAAGGAGCUGUUCUAGUUGUCUUUGUCUUCUGUCUAGAGCCCUUUAUUGUGCUUCGAAUGCAUUAGACAAGAAUCGAAAUUGUGACGUGCAUUGGGAAUGAGGAUUGGGCUGCUGUGAACCCAAGGGUAUAGCAUUAGCCAUUGACAACUAUGAAAAUAUUUGCUAUAGGUUGUUGACGUCCGGCGGUCUGGAUGUGACUAAUAGAGUGCUCAAUCUAGGGAUCACAUGAUUAGUUGCAAAUGAAGAUGGUUGUCCAAGAUUGGUCUACACAUUAGUCAAAAUUGAUGAAUUGGUUCGGUGAUGAGGACGGUUAUGGUGCUAUAUCCAUGGUUAGGUCGUAUUCAAUUAGUGAAAUGCAAAGGAUGUGUGUCUGAGGUCAUUCUAGCAUUUCCAAUAAUUGUUAGCUUGUGAGGAGGAUUGGUAGUCACGAUAACCAUGAGUGAUUGAAAAAAAUUGCCUGAAGUGAUGACCUUUGGCUCAAGGCUUUGCGUACUGGUGUUGAUUUGGAUAAGUUGUUUAGCAAGAGAAUCCAGGGCUUUUGUUCAGGUUCCCACAGAUGGUGCCAAUUGUUUAUGUCAAUUUUUGAGGGUUAGGCUGAGAUGAUGGUUAGUAAGCUACGACAAUCUGCAAAAAGGGAAACAGGUCAAAAGGGUAUCGAAAUUUUAUCUUCGAAGCACUCUCCAAUACUCAAGUCAGUAUGAUUAUAAGCAAUAGAGAGUGUGAAAUAAGGUUUGGGAUAAAAGGGUGUUUUGUACCUUAUUGGUGGUGUGCAUGAGCUUUUAUAAGCUUUGUGCUCCCUGUUCAAGAUUGCCUGGGUAGAUGCCCUAAAUUUAACAGUUUUGCGUGUAAGCUUUCUUUGCAAAUUCAGGGUUACUAGAUCCCUUAUUCGUUUCGUGCCUACAACUUGAGCUAAAGAAAAUCUUCAAGAAAAAAAAAAAGGAAAAAAGAGAGAGAAUGCUU